GCGUGGUGAUUGGAGAAAUCAAAUAGAGCUAUAGAUAUAUGGCAGAGCUUUUUGUGAAUCAGGGAAAGGAAUACGCAGAUGCAAGGCCAAGUUAUCCACCACAACUCUUUCAAUUCAUAGCUUCUAAAACUCCCUCUCACAACCUUGUUUGGGAUGUUGCUACUGGAAGUGGCCAAGCCGCCAAAUCUGUAAGUUCUCUCUCUUCCUUAUCUUUCUAUAUCUUAUACGAGUAUUUAUCUUAAAAAAUGACUCAUCCAUCCAUUAUUAGACAAAAUGCGACAUCAACACCAUCCAUAUGUAUAUACAAUUUCCAAUUUCAUCAUCAUGUAGUUGAGUUAGGUGUUUAGCUUGAUAUACUCUAAUGCGUUGUUUCAAUUUUUUCCAAUAAACCAGACACUUUUGGGCUUCUCCGGAUACACCUAAUGUAAUGCAUAGUGACAUUGAAUUUAAUCUUCAUGCUAGCUAGCUUCGUCAUAGUUAAAUGAAUGUUUCUUAUAAUUUGUCAAAUUUCACACACGCGCAUACACAUAAUACAAUUCUUUUCAAAAAAAUCACUUUUACUCAAAGAAAAACUAUUUCAUGAUUUCAGUUAGCUGCAUUGUACAAGAAUGUCAUUGCUACAGAUGUUAGUGAACAACAACUUGAAUUUGCAACCAAGCUCCCUAAUGUGCAAUACAAACACACCCCUUCAACAAUGUCCAUUCCCGAGCUUGAACAAAUUGUAACACCACAAGGAACCAUAGACCUUGUGACUAUUGCUCAAGGCCUUCAUUGGUUUGACCUCCCAAAUUUCUAUCAACAAGUCAAAUGGGUACUCAAGAAACCUCAUGGAGUCAUUGCUGCUUGGUGUUACUUUUUGCCAAGAAUUAGUGAUGAAGUAGACACUGUCUUUGAUCAAUUCUAUUAUACUGAUUCACAACCUUACUGGGAUUCCGCACGUAAAUUGGUUGAGAAAAACUAUAGAAGCAUUGAUUUUCCAUUUCAGGCAGUGGAUGGAGUUGAUCAUACAGGACCAUUUGAGUUUGUGACAGAAACAUUCAUGAGUUUUGAUGGUUUGUUAACAUAUAUAAAAUCAUGGUCAGCUUAUCAGACAGCAAAGAAGAAGGGUGUGGAGCUUCUUGGUGAGGACGUAGUUGAAAAAUUUAAGCUUGCUUGGGGUGAAGAUGGCCACAAAACUGCCAAGUUUCCAGUUUAUCUGAGAAUUGGAAGAGUUGGAAAUGUCUGAAUAUGUGGAAGUCCAGCUAGUUCUUACUUUGAAGGUGCAACAUCAAAAUAAAAGAAAGAUGCAGUGUUAUUGUGUCAGACUCAACCUCCAAAAUGAACAAGCAAGAAUUUCUUAUGUUGCAUUGCUCAGUUGCUCAUGUUUAUUCACUUGUUAGAAAUAAAAUCUCAUGAUUGUUUGCUGAUAUAAAUUGUAUUUUCGCAAACAAUUUAGUUCCUGUAUUAGAUUUUAAUCCUUAAAUUGUAUUUUCUUACUCAAACACAUGAACCAGAACUACCAUUAAAGCACCUGUAUCACUUCAAUCUUAUUAGACCAUAUGGAAUUUGCGUUGAAAGAAACUUGAUAGCACUUUCUUAUGAAUACAUGAUGAGUUGAUCACUUUAUAAAUAUUUUGUUUCAUAGAAGAAAAAACUUAGGAUAUAAAAAGCUCCGUGAGAUUUCAAUUCCAAUGUUGUUGGUUUUGAUUUGACACAGUUUUGUAACAUAGUAAAUACUCAAAUGAUGGGGGAGGUUAUAUGCAACAUAGAUUUCAAUCUCAAAAUUGUUGAUUUUGUUGGAUUAUAUGAAGAGAAAUACAGAAGCCAAAAGUGAUGUGGAAAGCGAGGAAUGAUAAGGUUUUUAAUAACCGAAAUCCGUAUGUGGGUGAAAUGGUGGAUGAUGUCAAGGUUUUGUCUUGGAGAUGGGCUUUGGAUAGAAUCUCUAUGCCACCGUGUAUGUAUUACGAAUGGUGUUGGAACCCAAGGGAGUGUAUUUUGCGCUUGGUUUGAGUUGCGUAAAUUCUGAUCUUCUGUUGGGGCAUGGGGUUUUUUUGGUUGGUGCAGACAUUCUGCUGGGUUUAGUCUGGUGUUCUGUUACUUUUGGGGCGGCUAUCAGGUCUUAACAGCACCUGCUGUUUUUUUCCUGUGCUGUUGAAGCUGCGCAGCUGCUAUGCUGUAACAGCAUUGCCUGCUGUUUCGGCCCGGUUGUGGUUUAGGGCGUUUAGGUAGCCUUUUGGAUUAUCUGUUUUUGUUUUUGGGUCAGUUAGGUGACUAGUUGUAACUAUGGUUUUGUAAUUCGGGACGGUUUUACCAGAUUACAGGCUCAUAACUUGCUAUUUUCAUAACCUUAGGAUCCUUGGAGGAGUUGUUGCUUUUGUGGUUGUAUAGGGUGUGGGUGUUCCGUCUAUAUGCGGCACCUAUUGUUUCUUUGUGCCGUCCAUACUUUGCGUCUUACGGGGAUGGCGUUAAUAAAUUUGCCAUUUAAAAAAACUAAAAAUGGCCAAAAGUGAUAAAUUUGAGAUGAUAUAAUAGGCUGGUUUAAAUAUGUCUCAAUGUUGAUGGCUGUGAGUUUCAUGUGUUUUUUAGGAAGAAGAUAUAUUUAAUCAAGAAUUUAGAUUAUAGGGACUAAAUUGUAUUUUUUUUUCAAUUAUUAAAAUGAACUAAAUUGAAGUAAGACAGAGGGAGUUAACAGAAAGAAAAGUUGACCUGUGACCAAAACUAUUCCCUCCGUGAUUUAUAAAUAUUGCAGUGCAACGUAGUGAUUGGAGAAAUCAAAGAGUUAUAGAGAUGGCAGAGCUUUUUGUGAAUCAGGGAAAGGAAUACGCAGAUGCAAGGCCAAGUUAUCCACCACAACUCUUUCAAUUCAUAGCUUCUAAAACUCCCUCUCACAACCUUGUUUGGGAUGUUGCUACUGGAAGUGGCCAAGCCGCCAAAUCUGUAAGUUCUCUCUCUUCUCCCUCUCCUUACCUCUUCCUAAAAUCUUACUGUAUCUUAUAUUCUCAAAACAAUUUUUUUUUUUUAUCUUAUCCUUGAAUAAUUAUGAGAAAUUUAAAAGACUAAUAUCUCAAAUUCGUCCUUGAAUUUUGAAAAAUCGGCUAAUUUCGUCCCUGAAUUUUGCGAAAUAUCAAAUUAGUCCCUGAAUUUACAAAAUGUCAAUCAAAUCAG
rnacentral:lncRNA from 1 species